rnacentral:rRNA from 1 species
ACUCAAAUGAAUAGACGGGGACCCGCACAAGCGGUGGAUGAUGUGGAUUAAUUCGAUGCAACGCGAAGAACCUUACCUACCCUUGACAUGUACCGAACCCUGCCGAGAGGUGGGGGUGCCCGAAAGGGAGCGGUAACACAGGUGCUGCAUGGCUGUCGUCAGCUCGUGUCGUGAGAUGUUGGGUUAAGUCCCGCAACGAGCGCAACCCUUGCCACUAGUUGCUACUUGAAAGAGGGCACUCUAGUGGGACUGCCGGUGACAAACCGGAGGAAGGUGGGGAUGACGUCAAGUCCUCAUGGCCCUUAUGGGUAGGGCUUCACACGUCAUACAAUGGCGCAUACAGAGGGUAGCCAACCCGCGAGGGGGAGCCAAUCUCAGAAAGUGCGUCGUAGUCCGGAUUGCAGUCUGCAACUCGACUGCAUGAAGUCGGAAUCGCUAGUAAUCGCGGAUCAGCAAUGUCGCGGUGAAUACGUUCCCGGGUCUUGCACACACCGCCCGU